rnacentral:rRNA from 1 species
GACGAACGCUGGCGGCGUGCUUAACACAUGCAAGUCGAACGGAAAGGCCCUGCUUUUGUGGGGUGCUCGAGUGGCGAACGGGUGAGUAACACGUGAGUAACCUGCCCUUGACUUUGGGAUAACUUCAGGAAACUGGGGCUAAUACCGGAUAGGAGCUCCUGCUGCAUGGUGGGGGUUGGAAAGUUUCGGCGGUUGGGGAUGGACUCGCGGCUUAUCAGCUUGUUGGUGGGGUAGUGGCUUACCAAGGCUUUGACGGGUAGCCGGCCUGAGAGGGUGACCGGCCACAUUGGGACUGAGAUACGGCUCAGACUCCUACGGGAGGCAGCAGUGGGGAAUAUUGCACAGUGGGCGGAAGCCUGAUGCAGCAACGCCGCGUGCGGGAUGACGGCCUUCGGGUUGUAAACCGCUUUCGCCUGUGACGAAGCGUGAGUGACGGUAAUGGGUAAAGAAGCACCGGCUAACUACGUG